GCUUCGCCCCGCUUUGCUGGGCGUAAAUGGCGCGGAAGCCCGACUUCCAGGAACUUGUGAAAUCACCGGGCUCAAUCUGAACGGGCAAUUGAUAAUGGUAUGCUAGAGUGCGGAAGGGGCACCUGGGAUUCCCGGCGUAGCGGGGAAAUGCGUACAUAUCCAGAGGGACCCCUGCGGCUAAGGGGGGUUGCCGGCCCCACCCUGAUUGUGAAGCGCGAAAUCUAUGGGAGGGAACGGGAUUAGAUACCCCGGCAAGCCUAGCCUUAAACGAUGGAUGCUUGGUGUCUGGAGAUAUUACUCUCCGGGUGCCGACGCUAACCCAUUAAGCAUCCCGCCUGGGGAGUACGCCCGCAAGUGUGAAACUCAAAGGAAUUGACGGGGACCCGCACAAGCGGUGGAGCAUGUGGUUUAAUUCAACCCAACGCGAAGAACCUUACCUAGGCUAGAAUGCCUUCCACCGCCCCGUAACUGGGGUUUCUCGGGUAACACCGAGCGAAGUGCAAGGUGCUGCAUGGCUGCCGUCACCUCGUGUCGUGAGAUGUUGGGUUAAGUCCCGCAACGAGCGCAACCCUUGCCAACAGUUGCCAUCAUUCAGUUGGGAACUCUGUUGGUACUGCCGUUGACAAAGCGGAGGAAGGUGGGGAUGACGUCAAGUCCUCAUGGCUUUUAUGCUUAUGGCUACACACGUGCUACAAUGGCGAGUACCAUCCGCUCGCACACCCCCGAGGAGGAAGCUAAUCCAAAUACAGCUCUUCAUGACUGCGGAUUGCACUCUGCAACUCGAAUUGCAUACAGGUCGAAAUCUCUAGUUAUCG
rnacentral:rRNA from 1 species